rnacentral:rRNA from 1 species
UACGAAGGGGGCUAGCGUUGCUCGGAAUCACUGGGCGUAAAGCGCACGUAGGCGGCUUUUUAAGUCAGGGGUGAAAUCCUGGAGCUCAACUCCAGAACUGCCUUUGAUACUGGGAAGCUUGAGUCCGGAAGAGGUGAGUGGAACUCCGAGUGUAGAGGUGAAAUUCGUAGAUAUUCGGAAGAACACCAGUGGCGAAGGCGGCUCACUGGCCCGAUACUGACGCUGAGGCACGAAAGCGUGGGGAGCAAACAGG